rnacentral:rRNA from 1 species
AGAAUCAACGCUGGCGGCGUGCCUAACACAUGCAAGUCGAACGAGAAAGUGGAGCAAUCCAUGAGUAAAGUGGCGCACGGGUGAGUAACACGUGACUAACCUACCCUUGAGUGGGGGAUAACCUAGGGAAACCUGGGCUAAUACCGCAUAAUACCUUCGGGUCAAAGCAGCAAUGCGCUUGGAGAGGAGUUCGCGGCCGAUUAGUUAGUUGGCGGGGUAAUGGCCCACCAAGACGAUGAUCGGUA